GAUGAAGACCGUAGCGAAAUGCGAUAAGUAAUGUGAAUUGCAGAAUUCAGUGAAUCAUCGAAUCUUUGAACGCACAUUGCGCCCCUUGGUAUUCCGAGGGGCAUGCCUGUUCGAGCGUCAUUAUAACCCUUCAAGCUCAGCUUGGUGUUGGGGCCUGCUGUAACUGGUAGCCCUUAAAAUCAGUGGCAGUGCUAUUAGGCUCUAAGCGUAGUAAUUCUUCUCGCUAUAGUGUGUAGUGAGCGCUUGCCAGAACCCCAAACUUUUAUAUGAUUGACCUCGGAUCAGGUAGGGAUACCCGCUGAACUUAAGCAUAUCAAUAAGCGGAGGA
rnacentral:misc_RNA from 1 species